GCUCCGAAGCUCCGUUGCUUCUUCGUGUAUCCCUCGCUGUUCCGUCCUUCCUCUCCUAUUGGUCGUCGAGAGGAGUUCCGGGAUAUAUUACUCGGAAUGCGAAAGCGCUACUUAUUGUCCCGCAUACGGAAGGCACGCGGGUUUCCUAAAUUUUCUUAAAUUUUCGCAAAACCUCUCGUUUCAUAAAAUUUUGCGCACAUAUGGUGGACGACUUCGCAAGCUUUGUCUCUCUCAGAGGCUUUUUCGCUUCUUUAUGACGAUUAUUCUGACGGCAACCACAUUACUCAUACAGAAAACGCGAACGGCAUAUGCAUCGAAUCUCGGUAAUUUAACUUCAAAGAUCAUACGCAAAUUUGUGAUGCCAAUUAGCUCUGAUUAGUGUGCAAAUGCACUGAGAACAAAUACUUGAAAAUAAAUUUGUGGGAUAAAAAAUUUAUUUCUGCCAAUGUGACUAGUUGCAGCAUUAUACUUAUGACGCAUCUUUAUAAUGUAUCCAGAAAGCGAUUUUAUGCCAUACCUAAUGCUAUUCGUGGCAAAUAACGCAACAAUAGGCGAUAUAUAACGGAUAUUAUUAUCGAUUUAUAUAUACAUUUUGUUUCAACAUAGUAUGAACUAUUUUCCUCUGAUACAUUUUAGAACAUAGUCGAUAGUCUACACAAUAAAAGAACUUCUUUUAAAGUGAUUGCGUACAAUUAAGUGUUAUCAUUUAUUAGAUCAUUAGCUGUAUCUAGGAAUGCAUCAGAAAAGUGACUAAAGCGUAUUGAAACAAAGUGUACUCAUGCCACACUUUUACAAAAGCAGGAGAGAGAGAAACAUAAUAUAAAUUUACCAAUGAAUGUAUAAUAUUAAAAAAUCCAUUUUUUAUUAGCGACUAUGUUUACACUUGUAUUUAAUUUACAAUAACCGGUGGGAACUCGUAAGACAUUAAUAGUUUCACAUACUUUUAUACUUCUGGAUAAAUUUUGAUCAUUUAAAUUGUAAAAGUCGAUGUAACGAACUACAGAUAUUGUUUAUGAGUUACAAUAUGAAGAACAUAAGAAUAUGAUUUUUAUAAAAUA